AUUGAACGCUGGCGGCAGGCCUAACACAUGCAAGUCGAGCGAGCGGCGGACGGGGGAGUGAUGUAUGGGGAUCUGCGCGAUAGAGGGGGGGAACUACUGGAGACGGUGGCUAAUACCGCAUACUAUCGGAUGAACCCCUAUGGGAUUAGCUCGUUGGGGGGGUAAAGGCGCACCUAGGCGACGAUCUCUAGCUGGUAUGAGAGGAUGAUCAGCCACACUGGAACUGAGACACGGACCAUACUCCUACGGGAGGCAGCAGGGGGGAAUAUUGCACAAUGGGUGAAACCCUGAUGCAGCCAUGCCGCGUGUAUGAAGAAGGCCUUAGGGUUGUAAAGCACUUUCAGCGGGGAGGCGUUACCCGCAGAAGAAGCACCGGCUAACUCCGUGCCAGCAGCCGCGGUAAUUC
rnacentral:rRNA from 1 species